UGAAUGGGUCAUUAAAUGAAAUAUCGAGAGGGUACACUUCAACAUAUAAAUCAUUUCGUUCAUAUGGCAAUGUUAACUGCAAACUUGAUUCAAUAUAGUACCAAGCUUCAUUAGUUGCAUAAUCAAUUUCACCUUGUAAAUUGAAUUUCGCACAAUGUUUGCCAGGUAAAAAUCGGCUUUCUAAGUGUGCAGGAUAACGUU
rnacentral:sRNA from 1 species